AUUGAACGCUGGCGGAAUGCUUUACACAUGCAAGUCGAACGGUAGAGGGGGCAACCCCUCGAGAGUGGCGAACGGGUGAGUAAUAUAUCGGAACGUGCCCAGUCGUGGGGGAUAACGUAGCGAAAGUUACGCUAAUACCGCAUACGAUCUAAGGAUGAAAGCGGGGGAUCGCAAGACCUCGCGCGAUUGGAGCGGCCGAUAUCAGAUUAGGUAGUUGGUGGGGUAAAGGCUCACCAAGCCAACGAUCUGUAGCUGGUCUGAGAGGACGACCAGCCACACUGGAACUGAGACACGGUCCAGACUCCUACGGGAGGCAGCAGUGGGGAAUUUUGGACAAUGGACGCAAGUCUGAUCCAGCCAUUCCGCGUGCAGGAUGAAGGCCCUCGGGUUGUAAACUGCUUUUGUACGGAACGAAAAGGUCUCUCCUAAUACGAGGGGCUCAUGACGGUACCGUAAGAAUAAGCACUGGCUAACUACGUGCCAGCAGCCGCCGCUG
rnacentral:rRNA from 1 species